rnacentral:rRNA from 1 species
AUUGAACGCUGGCGGCAUGCUUUACACAUGCAAGUCGAACGGUAACAGGUUAAGCUGACGAGUGGCGAACGGGUGAGUAAUGCAUCGGAACGUGCCCGAUCGUGGGGGAUAACACUUCGAAAGCUGCGCUAAUACCGCAUACGAUCUGAGGAUGAAAGCGGGGGACCGUAAGGCCUCGCGCGAUCGGAGCGGCCGAUGUCAGAUUAGGUAGUUGGUGGGGUAAAGGCUCACCAAGCCGACGAUCUGUAGCUGGUCUGAGAGGACGACCAGCCACACUGGGACUGAGAUACGGCCCAGACUCCUACGGGAGGCAGCAGUGGGGAAUUUUGGACAAUGGGCGCAAGCCUGAUCCAGCAAUGCCGCGUGCAGGAAGAAGGCCUUCGGGUUGUAAACUGCUUUUGUACGGAGCGAAAAGGCUCUCUCUAAUACAGGGGGCUCAUGACGGUACCGUAAGAAUAAGCACCGGCUAACUACGUGCCAGCCGCCGCCGUAA